AUUGAACGCUGGCGGCAUGCCUUACACAUGCAAGUCGAACGGCAGCACGGGAGCAAUCCUGGUGGCGAGUGGCGAACGGGUGAGUAAUGUAUCGGAACGUACCUUUCAGUGGGGGAUAACGUAGCGAAAGUUACGCUAAUACCGCAUAUUCUGUGAGCAGGAAAGCAGGGGAUCGCAAGACCUUGCGCUGAUUGAGCGGCCGAUAUCAGAUUAGCUAGUUGGUGAGGUAAAGGCUCACCAAGGCGACGAUCUGUAGCGGGUCUGAGAGGAUGAUCCGCCACACUGGAACUGAGACACGGUCCAGACUCCUACGGGAGGCAGCAGUGGGGAAUUUUGGACAAUGGGCGCAAGCCUGAUCUAGCCAUGCCGCGUGAGUGAAGAAGGCCUCGGUUGUAAGACGU
rnacentral:rRNA from 1 species